rnacentral:rRNA from 1 species
UACGUAGGGUGCAAGCGUUGUCCGGAAUUAUUGGGCGUAAAGAGCUCGUAGGCGGUUUGUCGCGUCUGCUGUGAAAACUCGGGGCUUAACCCCGGGCCUGCAGUGGGUACGGGCAGACUAGAGUGCGGUAGGGGAGACUGGAAUUCCUGGUGUAGCGGUGAAAUGCGCAGAUAUCAGGAGGAACACCGGUGGCGAAGGCGGGUCUCUGGGCCGAUACUGACGCUGAGGCACGAAAGCGUGGGGAGCAAACAGG